AGGAUAAACGCUGGCGGCGUGCCUAACACAUGCAAGUCGAACGCGCUUUCGGGCUUCGGUGCGAGAGCGAGUGGCGGACGGGUGAGUAACACAUGGGUACCUGCCUUUCAGUGAGGGAUACCGGCGAGAAAUCGCCGACAAUACCGCAUGGGCUUGUGGGAACACAAGCAAAGUGGCGCAAGCCACGCUGGAAGAUGGGCCUGUGGCCGAUUAGCUAGUUGGGGGGGUAACGGCCUCCCAAGGCGACGAUCGGUAGCUGGUCUGAGAGGACGAUCAGCCACACUGGGAUUGAGAACGGCCCAGACUCCUACGGGGGCAGCAGUGAGGAAUUUUCCGCAAUGGAGGCAACUCUGACGGAGCAACGCCGCGUGCAGGAGGAAGGUUUUCGGAUCGUAAACUGCUUUUCUCGGGGACGAGCAAGGACGGUACCCGGAGGAAGAAGCCCCGGCUAACUACGUGCCAGCAGCCGC
rnacentral:rRNA from 1 species